GGAACCCACGACACCAGGCGAGGUAGUUAACAUCUCGCCACCAUUGCUCCAUGUCAUAGCUGCUAGUGGCUACUACGUUCACCACAACGCUGUAAGAAAAAAAACAGACACGAUUCUUGAAUCGAAUCAUUAAAUCGUGGUGAUUAAUUACACCGCUCGUUAUUACACGCAGCACAUGCAUACAUAAAUCUAUUCGGCAAAAGACAUGUGUUUUAAUGAUUCGUAAUGCACAACCUUUGUUAAGCGAGCCCUGGCCCUUGCACGCACACACGAGCUCACGGUCGCAUGUUUACAGAUGAGCUGUCAAGCGUAUAUGCGUGUUGUUCAUAAAAUGCUAAUGACGAUGACACGUCUUCGCGUGCGUAGCGCUCGCUUCUCCGCGCGCGAUUGUAAGCAUGUGCACAUGUAAAACCGUCACCCGCGGCCCAGAGAACAUUAUCAUUUCAUUCAUCAUGGCAUUAAUGAGAUGCCAUACGUGCCUAUAGUUAUAUGCAUCACUAUCAAUCAGCCUGGGAAGUGGACGAUCGCCGUGUAAUUGAAUGCAGUUGCGCGCACCCUUGGGUGAAACGCGCGCACACAUGCGCUCGCACGUUACCCCAUGCAAACCUGUCGGGGCUGAGCGUUGUAAAGUUUUUUUUUUGCGUUGAAGCCCCGUGGCCCUGUUUGCGUGGCGGGCUGUAUACUCCUUAUGUACGGCUGCUGAUGUGGAUGAAGGAGCAACGGCUACAAUUUCACAUUCAGGUGGUCAAACCCCGCCGACCACAUCAGGAGUAGUGUAUCGUCGCUCUGAUGUCUCCUUCGUAUUUGUAGAUCGGGCGUUGCGUCAUUAUAUGUUGUGUAGUCUGUUCUGGGCGGCACACAGUCGCACACUGGAGAGUUUUUAAUCUUCCAUUUGUGCAUCAGGUAUCCGCAUCUGCCAUGGUUUGUGUGGAUGGACCAUGAGGUUUGUGGAAGAUCAAACCCAGGAUUCUCCUGCGUCGGCUCUUUGCACAAGGUGUUUGUCAGUUAUUUUGAACUCCAUUCGGCUCUCCAGGCAGGCUGUACUGCCGCUAGGAGAAUAUAACUGCUGUAAUAACAAUCGCAAUGAUUCACUUGUACGUCCUCAGCCCUCGUGUCAACCCACUGCUGGGUGAGGGCCUACCUGCGCCACGGGGGUCACGUGGGCUGUGCUUGCACCGCGCCGCCUUCUCUGGAGGUCUCUGGACCAGCUGUCGGGCAGCUCAUCGUCGUCGUCACCGCGGUCACCGACGGUUACGUUCCUGCUCGGCCGACGCGUUCGACGGGUCGCUCCUCCAGAACGGAUCGCGCCGAGCGGCCUGCCGUGCCGAGCCACGGAAACCCGACGGCACGAAUUUCCCAGCGUUACGGCUCGCCAAGCUCGUGACGAUGCGGACAGCGUCUGGACGUCCAGCCGUUGCCAAAGACAACACGGAGAAAUGAAAAUUGCUCGGCUCGGAAACACCGAAAACACGCCCGCGUGAGAAACAGAAGAAGAAUACAUUUAUUAAAAAACAACCGAUGUUUGGAAAUCAAGUGGCUUGGUAGUCGCGAAAGCUUUAAGUCAAGAUUUAAGUGGGUUUUUUAAAUUUGUUUAUUAUUGAUCGUAAAUAACAAUCAGAAUAACAAAAAUAACAA